rnacentral:antisense_RNA from 1 species
CUCUACAUUCUUGAAAUGCUCUUCUCAUGGGAGACAUUAAAUAAGCUUUGAAUUAACUGAAUGUACAGGGUGUACCAUGAACAAUUCUGACAUGUGAUUUAAUCUAUGUGUGACUACAUUUUAAAUACAUUUGGGAAGGAUUGAACAAUGAAGUGGAGCCCAUCAAUAUUGGUACUGAAAAUGAGACAGCUCUGAAGUAAGCCCUUAAGUAAAAGUGCCAUCAAAUGAUUUCUCAGAAAUUAUAAAGAAACAAAAGGACCAUAAACAAGAUAAGGUGGCAUGAGGAAACAUUACAAGUACCUUUCAGAGCUGACUGGCAAAGAAACUCCUGAGGUGAUGGUUCUACCCCAAUAUUACUUCUUCCAAGAGCAACCUAACUGGACUUAUCUUCCUCAGUUCUCUGUGAUGAACUUUUGUAGAGCCACACGAAAGGAGGUUUUUAGCUCUCACCUGUGGUCUUUCUUCAUCAUGCACCUCCUAGAUUCAAAAGUUCAGCAGGGACAUGUCAAGCUAUAUAAAUAAAAACAAACUAAGAAAAAAUGUAACAUUCCAUACCUUAAAACGCAACCUUAAUAACGUGAAAGACCCUGAAGGACUUGAGAUGUGAAGAUUUUCUACCACGGUCUUUGCAUGUAUUAUUUGUGACAGCUGUUCCUUUCUACUC